rnacentral:misc_RNA from 1 species
CAACCCUCAAGCACUGCUUGGUAUUGGGCUUUCAUCAGUAAAAUGAUGGGCCUUAAAGUCAGUGGCGGCGCCGCUGGGUCCCGAACGUAGUAAUACAUUUCGUUACGGGCGCCCCGCGUGCUUCUGCCAUUAAACCCCAACUUUCUAA